rnacentral:rRNA from 1 species
GAUAAACGCUGGCGGCGUGCCUAAAACAUGCAAGUCGAACGGGUGUCUUCGGACACUAGUGGCGGACGGCUGAGUAACACGUGGGUGACCUGCCCUCGAGCGGGGGAUAACUGCCCGAAAGGGUGGCUAAUACCGCAGAUGUCGGUGCUUCGGUGUGCUGACUGAACUUGAGGGGCUCGGGGAGGGGCCCGCGGUCGAUUAGCUAGCUGGUGGGGUGACGGCCUACCAGGGCGACGAUCGAUAGCUGGUCUGAGAGGAUGAUCAGCCAGACUGGGACUGCGAACGGCCCAGACUCCUACGGGAGGCAGCAGUUAGGAAUUUUGGGCAAUGGGCGAAAGCCUGACCCAGCAACGCCGCGUGGGUGAUGAAGGCCCUCGGGUCGUAAAGCCCUUUUCCCAGGGACGAUGGUGACGGUACCUGGGGAAUCAGCCCCGGCUAACUACGUGCCAGCAGCCGCGGUAAAAC